CCCGUGUUGAGUCAAAUUAAGCCGCAGGCUCCACUCCUGGUGGUGCCCUUCCGUCAAUUCCUUUAAGUUUCAGCUUUGCAACCAUACUUCCCCCGGAACCCAAAAGCUUUGGUUUCCCGGAGGCUGCCCGCCGAGUCAUCGGAGGAACUGCGGCGGAUCGCUGGCUGGCAUCGUUUAUGGUUAGAACUAGGGCGGUAUCUGAUCGCCUUCGAACCUCUAACUUUCGUUCUUGAUUAAUGAAAAACAUACUUGGCAAAUGCUUUCGCUUCUGUUCGUCUUGCGACGAUCCAAGAAUUUCACCUCUAACGUCGCAAUACGAAUGCCCCCGCCUGUCCCUAUUAAUCAUUACC